AGAGUUUGAUCAUGGCUCAGAUUGAACGCUGGCGGCAGGCCUAACACAUGCAAGUCGAGCGGUAGCACAGAGAGCUUGCUCUCGGGUGACGAGCGGCGGACGGGUGAGUAAUGUCUGGGAAACUGCCUGAUGGAGGGGGAUAACUACUGGAAACGGUAGCUAAUACCGCAUAACGUCGCAAGACCAAAGUGGGGGACCUUCGGGCCUCAUGCCAUCAGAUGUGCCCAGAUGGGAUUAGCUAGUAGGUGGGGUAACGGCUCACCUAGGCGACGAUCCCUAGCUGGUCUGAGAGGAUGACCAGCCACACUGGAACUGAGACACGGUCCAGACUCCUACGGGAGGCAGCAGUGGGGAAUAUUGCACAAUGGGCGCAAGCCUGAUGCAGCCAUGCCGCGUGUGUGAAGAAGGCCUUCGGGUUGUAAAGCACUUUCAGCGGGGAGGAAGGCGUUAAGGUUAAUAACCUUGUCGAUUGACGUUACCCGCAGAAGAAGCACCGGCUAACUCCGUGCCAGCAGCCGCGGUAAUACGGAGGGUGCAAGCGUUAAUCGGAAUUACUGGGCGUAAAGCGCACGCAGGCGGUCUGUCAAGUCGGAUGUGAAAUCCCCGGGCUCAACCUGGGAACUGCAUUCGAAACUGGCAGGCUAGAGUCUUGUAGAGGGGGGUAGAAUUCCAGGUGUAGCGGUGAAAUGCGUAGAGAUCUGGAGGAAUACCGGUGGCGAAGGCGGCCCCCUGGACAAAGACUGACGCUCAGGUGCGAAAGCGUGGGGAGCAAACAGGAUUAGAUACCCUGGUAGUCCACGCCGUAAACGAUGUCGAUUUGGAGGUUGUGCCCUUGAGGCGUGGCUUCCGGAGCUAACGCGUUAAAUCGACCGCCUGGGGAGUACGGCCGCAAGGUUAAAACUCAAAUGAAUUGACGGGGGCCCGCACAAGCGGUGGAGCAUGUGGUUUAAUUCGAUGCAACGCGAAGAACCUUACCUGGUCUUGACAUCCACAGAACUUAGCAGAGAUGCUUUGGUGCCUUCGGGAACUGUGAGACAGGUGCUGCAUGGCUGUCGUCAGCUCGUGUUGUGAAAUGUUGGGUUAAGUCCCGCAACGAGCGCAACCCUUAUCCUUUGUUGCCAGCGGU
rnacentral:rRNA from 1 species